rnacentral:rRNA from 1 species
AUACGUAGGGUGCGAGCGUUGUCCGGAAUUACUGGGCGUAAAGAGCUCGUAGGUGGUUUGUCGCGUCGUCUGUGAAAUUCCGGGGCUUAACUCCGGGCGUGCAGGCGAUACGGGCAUAACUUGAGUACUGUAGGGGAGACUGGAAUUCCUGGUGUAGCGGUGAAAUGCGCAGAUAUCAGGAGGAACACCGGUGGCGAAGGCGGGUCUCUGGGCAGUAACUAACGCUGAGGCGCGAAAGCGUGGGUAGCGAACAGUAUUAUAUACCCUGGUAGCCCAGGCCGUAAACGGUGGGCGCUAGGUGUAGGGGUCUUCCACGACUUCUGUGCCGUAGCUAACGCAUUAAGCGCCCCGCCUGGGGAGUACGGCCGCAAGGCUAAAACUCAAAUGAAUUGACGGGG